AUAAAAUGCCUUCCAUGUUUAUCCUGCUUCAGUAUUUUCCAAUCAUUUUCACAAAGGAACUUGCCAGUGAAACAAUUUGCUGAAAGGGUUUCAAAAGAUGCAGUCUUCACAAGGACAUGUGCCUACCUAUUUGCCUCUUUCUAUUUUCAACUUGUUAUGCUGCUGUUUGCCACUUGGGAUUGCUGCCCUUAUCUAUUCCCUCAGGGUGGACAAUUUUACCGGUCAAGGAGACAUGGAGAAAGCAAGGCAGGCAUCGCGGACUGCAAAGAUUUUGAACAUCGUUGGAAUUGUCGCCGGCAUCAUCCUUAUUAUUGUCAUUAUUCUAGUGACAUUACUUGUAAAAUAACAGUGAAUGUUAUAUAAUGUCAUUGCUGUUCAGCAGUGUUUAAACAUUGUACAUAUAUAUAAAAAGUGGACUCAGCUGAAUAUACCUGCUUUUUGUAUACUGUAAAAGUUCAGAUGAUAUUUUUAUCACUUUUUUACCUUACCCUAUUGGAGUCACUGUACAAUAUGUGACAUAAAACUAACUAUGAACAAUGUAUCUUAAUCAUAUUAGUGGUCUUAACUUUAGUUUUAUUCCAGUUUUAUACUGGAACAAUUUGCAUGGAUACCACUUUGCCUAAAUCAGAAAUCUGAACUGAUAUACUUUUAACUCUCCAGCAUUACAAAAGUGCUUCCCUUUUGAGGUGUGUGAUUUAUCUAGGAUUAAACUGUGAAGAUUAAACUUUUUAUAUUUACAAAAGCCAUACAUAUAAAAUAAGAUGAUUACAUCUACAUACGAUGUGCAAAUAAAUUACUGGACGUAUACAGAUGAGGAGAAGAACACUCCCUCACUGUUAUUAUUUAUCAAACGAAAAGGGUCUGGCUAUUGAGAGAGCUAUCCGUUGUUUAUGUAAUCUUUUAUAAGGUAUAACAGAUUGUUUUUUGGGCUAUUCAAAUCUUAGAAAUGCUUACUCUGAGUAUCUAACUGUUGUAAAUAGAAAAGAGGUAGUUAAUUACAUAUAAAUAUAUUUUAAUAAAAUACCUUCAUUCAUCAA